ensembl:processed_transcript Gm14027 predicted gene 14027
CAUAGACUGCCCAAUACAGAGUCUCAUCAAGUGACUGCAAAGGAUUCACACUCAUCAAGGAGUGCCCUGCCCUUAGCCAGAUGGAACCCUGCUUUGUCACAGUCCUCAACAGCAGCACCUAUUAAUGUUGCUUCUGUGACUCCUCCCCUGUAUGCCCCCAAACUCUCUUCAGAAGGCCUCCCACCGGGAACUUCAAGUUCAGUUCUUAGUGGCAUUAGUUUGUAUGAUCCUAGGGAUAAAGCGCUUAGGUAACAGCACCUGUGUUUUAUGGAAUGACUCAAACUCAGUGUUACACUGGCACAGUCUCUUGAACUUCUGAAGUAUAGCAGUGUUUGCUGGGAUGGUUCCAGUAAAUCGCUGAAAAAGAGAAUUUGUUGUGAGACAAAGGAAAUACCAGGGCACCCUUGUGCUGGAGAUGGAGCCUAGAGCCUCAGCAUGCCAAGCAAGAGCUGCCACUGCACUGCACUGCACUCCCCAGCCUUCCCUGUGGAUCUAAGCACCCUUAUAAGGACAUUAAGCCUUCCAUUGCCAUCAUGCCUUGGAGUUGUCAGUGAUGCACAUUUACAUGCAUGAAGGAGUGUGUGGCCACCCACUCAGUUCAGUCAAGAAAUAGUCAUUUGGG